UACGUAGGGUGCGAGCGUUGUCCGGAAUUACUGGGCGUAAAGGGCGCGUAGGCGGAUAGUUUAGUCAGAGGUGAAAGCCCAGGGCUCAACCUUGGAAUUGCCUUUGAUACUGGCUAUCUUGAGUUCGGGAGAGGUGAGUGGAAUGCCGAGUGUAGAGGUGAAAUUCGUAGAUAUUCGGCGGAACACCAGUGGCGAAGGCGACUCACUGGCCCGAUACUGACGCUGAGGCGCGAAAGCGUGGGGAGCAAACAGG
rnacentral:rRNA from 1 species